CUGGGAUUACGGGCGUGAGCCACUGCGCUCGGCCGAUUUAAUGCCUUUUUUUUUUUAAUCUUCCUUGUCUUUCUCCUUGUGAAUGGAAAUAUCUAUAAUUUGUGUCCUAUGCCUGUCCCAUCAGUGUACUUUGGGAGCAGAUAAUUUGUGAGCCACCGCGCCCAGCCCAUUAGCUCCUACGUUUAACUCACUGUUGGUGAUCUUCCACUUCCUCCUACUGUUACCUUUGCAAGGAGUGUUUUGUUGUUGUUGUUGUUGUUUUUGACUUGGCAGGUGACAGUCCAAUGGCUACAACCAAGGAGUAUUUAACAAAGAAAAUUGAUUACUUGGAACAAGUAAACAGGACAGCUGGAAUAAAUCCCCACAUCAAUGCCUCCCUGAACAGGGCUGAGAUUCUUCCUGUAACUUUUCUAAAACAUCAAGAACUGGAGGUGCAACAGUUACAAUCCCCACAGUUCUCUUCUUCCGUGACAAGACCAAAGAACCUGGAUGAUGCUAAUCUAGAAGGACAUUCACAGCUCAUGAAAGAAUCAUCACUGCUAAUCAAAUCAGAGAGAAAACCCACCACUCUGCACCACUGGAGACAUUUCAUGUACUGAAUAUUUCAUAAGAUGGGGGCUGUAACUGAAGCAGAAAUUCUCAACAGCUUCAGGUUGCGUGCAAAUAUUUACUUAAACAUUCCAGCACAGUCCAACUGGUGUGCAGCACCAGCACCAGUGAGCCUGGAGUGAUCUUUAUAAAUUAUGGUAAUUAUAUGUGACAUGAUUCUUGCUAGGUCACAGGAGCUUGCCUUGGUCUUUCCCGCUUUGCCAGUAGUUCCCCUACUUGAAUGAUUAAGUGGGCAGGAUGCCACAGGAAACCGGAUGCAAGCACAAUGACAAAUGUCUGCUUUGACUGCUUAAAAUUGAGCCCAAUUGUUGAUCUGCAGAAACAACAAAACACAAUCAAGGACUGACACCAAGCCCCUGAGUCAGGAGAAUUGAAGAAUUGGUGUAGGGAUACGACUUGAAAGUCUUGGAAAAGGCUGCGUCAGUUUGUCAAAAUUUGCACCACCACUUUUCAUUACAUUUACACACAGUGCCCUGCUAUAGUUUUCUUUACAUUUAAAGAACAUUUUGGCAUCUACCAUCAUACAGAAUAAAAAUGUCAACGAUUCAAAGAAAACAAAAUAAUCAUUUUUAUUGUUUUCAAAGAUGAUUCUUGCAGUCUCCUGAUGAGUACUAGGAAUUUUUGGUGUAAAUAAAGAUUAAAAUAUCAAGAAUUAAGUAAGAAUAAGCUUAAGUAAUGAAAUUGCUUGGUUAAGUAAUGUAGGACAGUUGUAAAAGUUUGAUCAUAAGAAAUUCAUUUGCAGGAAUAGUGACCAAUAAGUCUAUACUUUAUGGUUAAACUUUGACAGUGAACUAUAUACUUCUUGAUAUCUUCUUAUAUUUCAUUAUUUUCUUUUUGAGAUGAUCGUGGUGAUUUCCUCUACUCUCAGAUUAUCCAGCUAAAGUUAUCUACAAGUUUUUUUUAACUGUUUAUACAUAUUAAGUGGAGUUUUUUUUUUUUUUUUUUUUUUUUUUUUUGAGGCAGAAUUUCACUCUGUCACCAGGCUGGAGUGCAAUGGUGUGAUCUCGGCUCACUGCAACCUCUGCCUCCCAGGUUCAAGUGAUUCUCCUGCUUCAGCCUCCUGAGUAGCUGGGACUACAGGUGCACGACACUAUGCCCAGCUGGUUUUCGUAUUUUUAGUAGAGACGAGAUUUCACCAUGUUGGCCAGGAUAGUCUCAAUCUCUUGACCUCAUAAUCUGCCUGCCUUGGCCUCCAAAAGUGCUGGGAUUACAGACGUGAACCACCGCGCCCGGCCAAGUGGAGUUUCUUUUAACAUUUGUAUACAUCUUAAUGUCUUGGAAUUUAAGUGCUCUUUUUUGGAGUCCAGCCUAGAAAUAGGCUUCCAAGUAUUAGUUAGAAGAAGGACUGAUGAGUCAAUGGUAAAAAGGAAGGAAAAUAAUAUAGCAAAUGGUUUACUUCCUUAAAAAUCAGGGGUAUAACAAAUAGGGCAAGAUAAUAGAGUGUUUGAUAUAUAAGCAAAAUUAAAAUUUUAUUUAAUGUUGCUAUAUAUAAAAUACCCACAAAUAUAUAAGUGAAAACGUUAGUAAUUCUCAAUACUGGUAUUUAUUCAAUUGAUUAGAAUGAUAGUAGAAACUAAAGAGAUAGCAAUAACAUUGAAAUUAAUUGGUGGAAAAUUAAAAUCAAGCUAUCAAAUUUAUGAUGUGUGUAAUUAAUAAGAUAAGAAUGAAUUUCUAGAUGAAAAUAAACUUUUUAGAUACACGUGAG
rnacentral:lncRNA from 1 species